GCACACACUUGCACGCACACACUUGCACGCACACACUUGCACGCACACACUUGCACGCACACAUCUGCCCACGUCACACCUACACGCACACACUUAUACGCACACACACACCGGCACACAGUAAACAUAAGAACGUGCACCCUUGCUUGCGAGUACACACACACCUGCACACGUACAGGCACACUCACACAUGCAUGCCUGUACGCAUCCAUAAAUAUAAAUACACAUGCAUAUUGAAUGCACGCUUGCAUAAUUAGAGACAGACAGAUUGUUGUGUGGCUGGACAUACGGCUCUCAGAUGUUCCAACACACAGAUCCGUCUCUCUUCCUUCCAACGUUUUUUUACCUGGUGUCUCUGUUCCCUUUUGUUUUGGCUACAACCCACUGAAGUAAACCUUGAACAGAAAACAUGAACUAGUCAGACCCAUGAACCCUCAUGUACUGAACACGGGCUUGAGGGUCGCCUGUGCAUUAAACAGUGAAGAAAAACGUCUCAUCAGAGAGAGUGGGCUCUUUCUAUCGUUGUUUCACUUCCUCUACACUUUCUGCCUCCGUGCCAAACAGUCCCAUGUCAUCCAGAUUGAUGGGAAUGUCACAUUCCAGCUCCAGGGGAUAUGUGGAUAUAUAUGAUAUGCAUAAUCCUGCAUAAAUAAGUCCUGAUACUCAUUACUUAAGUGGUUUAGUGUUGACAACCUCCUCCACCGCCACCGCCACUACCACCUCCAUCACCACCACCACUACCACCUCCAUCACCAUCUCCCCCCCCCACCACCACCUCCACCACCAUCUCUACCACCACCCCCAGCAACACCUCCACCCCCUCUGCCACCAGUACCCGCCACAACCACCUUCACCUCCACCUCCAUCAGCACCACCCUCUCCAUCCUUAGCUCUCAUGUUGUCUAAACACCCAAAGCUGAGCCAUGCUGUCCCUGGCACCUACACGCACACUCACACAAACACACACACACACACACACACACACACACACACACACACACACACACACACACACACACACACACACACACACACACACACACACACACACACGCAUACAGGCAUACACGCAUACAUGCACAUACACAAACACACAACGUAACACAUAAACACACACACAAAUAAAAAUGCACUGCGCACACACGCACACUCCUAGAUAAGCAUACACGCACACUCACACAUAAACGCAGACAUACGCGCGCACACCCACACACACAUACACACACGCACACACACACACACACACACACACACACGCACACAAAUACACGUACACAAAAACGCACACAUACACGUGCACAAAGACGCACACAUACACAGACAGGCACAGAUGCACGUACACUUACACGCAGACGUACAUCUGCACAAACACAAAACACGCACUGGCCACCGCCCUAUCCUUCUCCUGCAGGUCCUUUGGUCGCGGGCCCCGCCUGUCUCCGCUUGUCAUGGCUCCCCUGACCUCCCCCUCCCUCCCUCCCUCCUCCCCCUCCCCCCUCCCUCCCUUCACCUUGUCAAAGCCCUCUCCUCCUUCCCCUUCCUCUCUCCUCUCUCCUCUCUCCUCUCUCCUCCUCCUCUCCGCCCUUCACACUGCGCUAUCUCUCUCGGGGUGUGUUGACUAAAUGCGGGACACUGAUAAUACUGUGUACAUAAUAAAUCAUCGUUAUCGUAUAUCCCAGCUAGUUCUGUAGCAGCAGUAGCAGUAGUUGUAUUAGUAGCAGUAACAGCAGUAGAAGUUGAUGUAGUAGUAGUAGUAGUAGCAGCAGUAAUACUAGUUAGCUUUCCCUUGUUGCUGUGUAGUUAUUUUGGUAGCCUAUACAACUAAAUAAAAUUACAGCAUUGAGGGACAUAUUAUGUUGGUAUGUGUUCUAUAUGUAGGCACACACACACACAAACACUCACUGUGUGUAACCCUGGUUGCCCAGAGCCUCUCCAGAGGCGGGACCUCUGACUGAAUGGGUGUCAUUACCAUGUGAGCUCCACUGGGUGUCACUCAUGAGGCUGUUGGCUUAGCGUCGCCACGCUGCCGUGAUUCACAGGAAACAACUCCUCUCGCUGUGCACACAGUUUGAUCCGGCCCUGUGUGUGUGUGUGUGUGUGUGUGUGUGUGUGUGUGUGUGUGUGUGUGUGUGUGUGUGUGUGUGUGGUGUGUGUGUGUGUGUGUGUGUGUGUGUGUGGCGCGAGGUUGUUCUGAACAGCUGGCCGGUGGUUGGCUGAAGGAGGUGGGGGGGGUCGAGGGGUAGCAGCACUAGCUGUCGACGCCCUGUUUUCCCGCCUCCCAGAACGUUCCGUCUCCCAGAACUCCCCCCCCCCCCCUCCUGACCACAUGAUCCCAAACACACGGGAGCCCCCGGUCAUGUGACGACGGUUAGAACUUUGAAGUUAGACAUUUUAGAAUUGCCUAUCAAGCCAUGUGAUUAGGAGCUCUGUAAUCACUGGAUUUAGUGAUCUGAAAUCAUCUGUUUACAACUCUUAGGUGAAACUAAUUUAAACUUGUAUCGAAUGAGAUCCGGAGGGUGUUCAAUAACAGGAUUCAGAACUGCGAAACCACAGGAUUCAAAACACCAAAAUCACUGAGUUCAGAGCUCUGGACUGGGCAGGAUGGGGUCAGCUUAUUGUUUGCAGUCUGGUAGUCCUGAAGGCCGUCACUAGACCGGCAGGACAGAGCUCAUUCUUUCCAGCCCCCGUUAAACAUUCCAGGUACGAGUGGACUGUGAACGGCAAAACACCGCGUGACACACGCCUCGUAUGGGAUAGAGUCGGCUGGAAAGAACGAUGGACCAGGCACAAAUGUGGGCGUGUCCGAACGGGGGGGGGGGGGGGGGGGGUCACGUUUCAGGUCAAAGGUCAUUCACCUGGCGGGGCUGCACACCUGGUGGGGACACCUGGACUAGAAGUAUAAAUCAGUGUGGAGAUCAUUCAGGGUGUGUUGCUGUUCAGGGGAAAAGGCCACAGCCUGGCCUGGGAUCAGCUCUGACCAGAUGGUGAGUGUUUUGGAGGUGGUUUGUUUUAGAAGUGGGGAGAUUGGGCGGGGAGGAGGGGCAGCGGUGCGAGUCUGAGGUAUUUACGUGUUUCAGGGUGACGUCACGCGGCGUGGAAGAAACGUGCGGCGAGCACGGAGCAAUGUUCUGCACCGACGCCUCUCGGAGAGCUCCGAGUGACCCAGAUGCACACACAAACACAAGUGGACACACACAUGGACAUACACACACACACACGCACACACGUGGACUCGCACACACACACGUGGACACACACACACACACACACACACAAACACGUGGUCACACACACACACACACAAACACGUGGUCACACACAUGGACUUGCACACAAAUGGACACACACUCAUGUGGACAAACACACACACACAAAUGGAAACAGACACACACGGACAUAAACUCAUACAUGGCCACACACACACACGGUGACACACACACACACACGCGUGGACACACACACGUGGACACACACACGGACAGUGUGUUCCUCCCCUGCCCACAGGAGAGCCGUCUCUAGCCCGGGCUAGCCUCACGGCCCAGAUGUGGCGCGACUCCAGAUGCUAACACGUAAACAGACAUGCUAAUUAGCCCCCUGUUCCGUCGCUCUCUGACGACAUUCCCGCUCCCGGAAUCUGACCUGGGAAUUCCUCAACCAAGUUUCUGCGGUGGUUUUCUCCCUGUGGUUACCUGAUGUCGUCUACCCACUGUGCUAAUUAAAGCCUGUGGCUAAUUAGUCUGACUCUAAUUAACAAUGACAAAUUAAACGCUCGCCCAAAAGGAACAUCUUGAAAUCGGCAUCGCUUUGUUCAAUUCCUGGAGUGAGGAGAGAAUUCAGCUGCCUCUUCACAGACGCAAUACAGUAGUGAUACAGUGAUAGUGAUACAGAGGUGAUACAGUGAUAGUGAUACAGUGAUACAGUGUAUACAGUAGUGAUGCAGCAUUGAUACAGUGUAAGGUCACAGUGGUGUGUCUAGACUCAUUCCUUUGAUUAUCUAUUUACAUGUGAGAUUUAGUUUGUGGCCAGUCCAUUCUGAUCCCCCCCAGCCUCCC